rnacentral:pre_miRNA from 1 species
AAUGUACUCCCUCUGUCAAACAAAAGAUGUCUCAAGUUUGUCAAAAUUUGGAUGUAUCUAGACAUGACUUAAUGUAUAUAUGCAUUCAAAUUUAGUAAAACUUGUGGCAUCCUUUGUUGGACGGAUGGAGCAGUUG